AACGAACGCUGGCGGCAGGCCUAACACAUGCAAGUCGAACGGGUGUAGCAAUACAUCAGUGGCGCACGGGUGAGUAACACGUGGGAACGUGCCCUUCACUACGGGACAACGUCGGGAAACUGACGCUAAUACCGUAUAAUGUCUCCGGACCAAAGAUUUAUCGGUGAAGGAUCGGCCCGCGUCUGAUUAGCUAGUUGGUGAGGUCAUGGCUCACCAAGGCGACGAACAGUAGCUGGUUUGAGAGAAUGAUCAGCCACACUGGGACUGGGACACAGCCCAGAUUCCUACUGAAGGCAGCAGGAAGGAAUCUUGGACAAUGGGCGCAAGCCUGAUCCAGCCAUGCCGCGUGAGUGAUGAAGGCCUUAGGGUUGUAAAGCUCUUUUGCCGGGGAUGAUAAUGACCGUACCCGGAGAAUAAGCCACGGCUAAAUUCGUGCCAGCAGCCGCCGUAA
rnacentral:rRNA from 1 species